rnacentral:lncRNA from 1 species
GGUAGUGUGUACGCAGACCUUACCCCUACCCUAGGGUAGAGAGGUUGUUUCCAAAUAGACCCUCGACAUCCUUCCCUCCAAGAAUUUCCCACCUUGCUAUUGGGGAGACUCAAACUCACAACCUCUUGGUUGGAGAUGGAGGUUGCUUACCCUCAGAGCAACCCCUUGGAGGUUGAUCUAAUAUCAGGGCAAUUCACGAAAGGUACCUAAGAAAGCCUAGAGAACCAGGGGCACAUAUCACCAUGCAAUUGUGUGCAUAUAGAACAAAUAUAUACAUGAUAUCUGCACAUCAU